ACGCUGGCGGCAGGCCUAACACAUGCAAGUCGAGCGGUAGAGAGAAGCUUGCUUCUCUUGAGAGCGGCGGACGGGUGAGUAAUGCCUAGGAAUCUGCCUGGUAGUGGGGGAUAACGUUCGGAAACGGACGCUAAUGCCGCAUACGUCCUACGGGAGAAAGCAGGGGACCUUUGGGCCUUGCGCUAUCAGAUGAGCCUAGGUCGGAUUAGCUAGUUGGUGGGGUAAUAGCUCACCAAGGCGACGAUCCGUAACUGGUCUGAGAGGAUGAUCAGUCACACUGGAACUGAGACACGGUCCAGACUCCUACGGGAGGCAGCAGUGGGGAAUAUUGGACAAUGGGCGAAAGCCUGAUCCAGCCAUGCCGCGUGUGUGAAGAAGGUCUUCGGAUUGUAAAGCACUUUAAGUUGGGAGGAAGGAUUGUAGAUUAAUACUCUGCAAUUUUGACGUUACCGACAGAAUAAGCACCGGCUAACUCUGUGCCAGCAGCCGCGGUAAUACAGAGGGUGCAAGCGUUAAUCGGAAUUACUGGGCGUAAAGCGCGCGUAGGUGGUUAGUUAAGUUGGAUGUGAAAUCCCCGGGCUCAACCUGGGAACUGCAUUCAAAACUGACUGACUAGAGUAUGGUAGAGGGUGGUGGAAUUUCCUGUGUAGCAGUGAAAUGCGUAGAUAUAGGAAGGAACACCAGUGGCGAAGGCGACCACCUGGACUGAUACUGACACUGAGGUGCGAAAGCGUGGGGAGCAAAC
rnacentral:rRNA from 1 species